rnacentral:rRNA from 1 species
GAUGAACGCUGGCGGCGUGCCUAAUACAUGCAAGUCGAGCGAACAGAUGAGGAGCUUGCUCCUCUGACGUUAGCGGCGGACGGGUGAGUAACACGUGGAUAACCUACCUAUAAGACUGGGAUAACUUCGGGAAACCGGAGCUAAUACCGGAUAAUAUAUUGAACCGCAUGGUUCAUUAGUGAAAGACGGCUUUGCGGUCACUUAUAGAUGCAUCCCCGCCGCAUUAGCUAGUUGGUAGGGUAACGGCUUACCAAGGCAACGAUGCGUAGCCGACGUGAGAGAGGGGUAGCCCGCCCUGGAGGUGGAACGGCGUCAUGGCGCCUGCGAGAGGGACCAGACGGGAAUGUGACGCAGUAGGCGAGAGCAUGACAGAGCGGGGCGACGUGAGUGGUGAAGGCGUUGGGAUCGUGAUGCUCGGUUAUGAGGGGUAAACAGAUGUGUAAGUAGCUAUGCACGUCUUGACGGUACCUGAUAAAAAAGCAACGGCUAACUACGUG